GGAGCUGGGAGAAAGGCUGGGCUUCACGCAGGAUUGGAUGGGGGCUGAUUGCCAGGGUUGAUUCGGCUGAUCUGGCUGGCUAGGCCGGUGUCCCCUUUCCCCCUUACUGCUCCACGUGCGUCCCUCCUGAAGCUGCGAGCUUGGUGCUUGGUCGAAGAGGACGACCACCCCCAUAGAGGAGCGUUUCCUCCCUCAAGGGUAUAUGAGUAUACGAGUAGGUGCACUCCCCUGCUAGAAUCUCCAGACAAGCUCUCAAGAUUGGAUGGGGCGGGGUGCCAUUGCAAGAAAGGUAUAAGGAUCCUGAGAUCCUCGAGUUACAG
ensembl:misc_RNA 7SK 7SK RNA